rnacentral:rRNA from 1 species
CCCAGACUCCUACGGGAGGCAGCAGUGGGGAAUAUUGCACAAUGGGGGAAACCCUGAUGCAGCGACGCCGCGUGAGCGAAGAAGUACCUCGGUAUGUAAACUUCUAUCAGCAGGGAAGAAAAUGACGGUACCUGACUAAGAAGCCCCGGCUAACUACGUGCCAGCAGCCGCGGUAAUACGGAGGAUGCGAGCGUUAUCCGGAUUUAUUGGGUUUAAAGGGUGCGCAGGCGGCGUGUCAAGUCAGCGGUAAAAUGUCGGGGCUCAACCCCGGCCGGCCGUUGAAACUGGCGUGCUCGAGUUGGAGAGAAGUAUGCGGAAUUCGUGGUGUAGCGGUGAAAUGCAUAGAUAUCACGAAGAACCCCGAUUGCGAAGGCAGCAUACCGGCGCCCGACUGACGCUGCGGCACGAAAGCGUGGGUAUCGAACAGGAUUAGAUACCCGCGUACA